rnacentral:rRNA from 1 species
CCUACGGGUGGCAGCAGUGGGGAAUAUUGGACAAUGGGCGCAAGCCUGAUCCAGCCAUGCCGCGUGUGUGAAGAAGGCCUUCGGGUUGUAAAGCACUUUCAGUGGGGAAGAAAGCCUUGGGGCUAAUACCCUCGAGGAAGGACAUCACCCACAGAAGAAGCACCGGCUAACUCCGUGCCAGCAGCCGCGGUAAUACGGAGGGUGCGAGCGUUAAUCGGAAUUACUGGGCGUAAAGCGCGCGUAGGCGGUCUGCUAAGUCGGUUGUGAAAGCCCCGGGCUCAACCUGGGAACGGCAUCCGGAACUGUCAGGCUAGAGUGCAGUAGAGGGAGGUAGAAUUCCCGGUGUAGCGGUGAAAUGCGUAGAGAUCGGGAGGAAUACCAGUGGCGAAGGCGGCCUUCUGGACAGACACUGACGCUGAGGUGCGAAAGCGUGGGUAGCAAACAGGAUUAGAUACCCGAGUAGUC